rnacentral:lncRNA from 1 species
UGCGCAAUGUACAAAUGUUACUUGGUUUAAAAAGCAAAGCUGAAUUAAAUGUGUAUGAUUUCUUGUUUGCAUUUUAUACAGAAAUGCCUGAAUCUCUGACUGCUGCACAGUAAUCCAGCUGACUGCUGUUUGGAUAGUAAGAGGCUGGUUCUGCAUUGCCUGUCAGAUUGUUCAUGUUGAGGAGAGCCUCAACAACACUUCUGUAGCCAAGUCGGUUCAACAUUUCUGUCUGAAAAGAGAAGCAGUGCUCCAUCCUGACAGUGCCACAUGUGCUUCAGAACCUGACUGGAAAAUGAACCCAACCUGGGAGAGAAGAUGUGAGACAAUCAGCUAACAACACAAAGGACUGAACAACUGCAUAUACUGUCAGUAUUUACCAUACAUUUAAAAUGACCAAAAUAUGACAAAAAUAUGAAACUUAUAAAAAUAAUUAUAACUUUUCUUAAUCAGCUGUCUUUCCACAGUUGUACACCCUGCUUCUAUGCACAAGAGUGAUAAUUCUUUGUAAAAUUCACCACUAGAGGUGGUGAAAUUCACCACUAAAGGAAACUUUAUACAGAACUAUCAUCAUUGUUAAAUCCUGAAUCCAUGUUUAUUUAAUAUCCUGGUUUGUAUGUGCACAUGUAUUAGUUUGUGAAGAACUAUGUGUUUUCCCUCCCUCAUCCAUUCAGACUGAGAACAUUAUUGAGGUAAACAAAAAGCAACAAUCAAACAACAACAACAAAAACAUAUUUCAGGUACUUCAGAAUGUAGUAAUUACACUUUAUUUCACUUUUGGAUUUUAACAUUUUUGGAUUUCAAUUCAAAAGAAAAAUCAGUGUCAAGAUGAAGGCUUGACAUAAGCUUUCUAAGAAGUGAUUCUUUGCAACAACAGCAGUGAAUGAACACUAUUCUAAGUCAGAAAAAAAGAAUAAAGUGAGGAUCAUACCAAAGAAGUAUUCCA